UUGAACGCUGGCGGCAGGCCUAACACAUGCAAGUCGAGCGGCAGCGCGGGGCUACCUGGCGGCGAGCGGCGGACGGGUGAGUAACGCGUAGGAAUCUACCCAGUAGCGGGGGAUAGCCCGGGGAAACUCGGAUUAAUACCGCAUACGCCCUAAGGGGGAAAGCAGGGGAUCGUAAGACCUUGCACUAUUGGAAGAGCCUGCGUUGGAUUAGCUAGUUGGUAGGGUAAAGGCCUACCAAGGCGACGAUCCAUAACUGGUCUGAGAGGAUGAUCAGUCACACCGGAACUGAGACACGGUCCGGACUCCGACGGGAGGCAGCAGUGGGGAAUAUUGGACAAUGGGGGCAACCCUGAUCCAGCCAUGCCGCGUGUGUGAAGAAGGCCUUCGGGUUGUAAAGCACUUUAAGUGGGGAGAAAGGUUCGCUGUCUAAUACGCAGCGGAAUUGAUGCUACCCACAGAAUAAGCACCGGCUAACUCUGUGCCAGCAGCCGCCGUAA
rnacentral:rRNA from 1 species